rnacentral:rRNA from 1 species
UACGGAGGGUGCAAGCGUUAUCCGGAUUCACUGGGCUUAAAGGGUGCGUAGGCGGGCAGGUAAGUCAGUGGUGAAAUCCUAGAGCUUAACUCUAGAACUGCCGUUGAUACUAUCUGUCUUGAAUAUUGUGGAGGUGAGCGGAAUAUGUCAUGUAGCGGUGAAAUGCUUAGAUAUGACAUAGAACACCAAUUGCGAAGGCAGCUCGCUACACAUAUAUUGACUCUGAGGCACGAAAGCGUGGGGAUCAAACAGG